rnacentral:rRNA from 1 species
GAUGAACGCUGGCGGCGUGCCUAAUACAUGCAAGUCGAGCGGACGGACCAGAAGCUUGCUUCUCUGAUGUUAGCGGCGGACGGGUGAGUAACACGUGUAUACCCUACCUAUCAGACUGGGAUCACUUCGGGAAACCGGCUCUAACACCGUAUAAUCUUUUGAACCGCAUGGUUCAAAGGUGAGAGACGGUCUUGCUGUCACUACUAGAUGGAUCCGCGCUGCAUUAGCUAGUUGGUAAGGUAACGGCUUACCAAGGCAACGAUGCAUAGCCGACCUGAGAGGGGGGUCGCCGGCCCUGGAGCGGAGACGCGGUCCUGACGCCUACGGGAGGCAGCAGUAGGGAACCUGCCGCAGUGGGCGAAAGCCUGACGGAGCAACGCGGCGUGAGAGAUGAAGGUCUUCGGUGCGUAAAGCUCUGUUAUUAGGGAAGAACAGAUGUGGAAGUAAAUGUGCACAUCGUGACGGUACCUAAUCAGAAAGCCACGGCUAACUACGUG